GCAUUUACCGAAAACUCAAUAUUUUUGAAGGGGUUAACCCACGAAUCUUGAAAAUUUUUCAAAAAUAUGAAAAUCUAGUUUUAUUAUAUAGUUUCAUCGAUGACUGACAUAAGAUGAUGGUCAAAGAGUUUAGAAUCUUUGUAGUCUCUGUUUCUCUAGAUAAUAAAUAUUUUAUAAUGUUAAUUCCAUUGAUCUAGGGGGAAAUUUCAUAACUACACUUUGUGUAGUACCACAAUUCAACAAUACCAUCAAUAGAAGGACAUUUUCACAAAUACACUUUUCAUUAAUGUGUAAAAGACAAAAUUAACCUUAUCUUAUCUCUCUCUCCCCGGGUGGAGAUCCAUCAUCUCUUCUCCGUCGCCUCUCUCCGAUGAAGUCGUCUCUCUCAAGCAGUCGGUGACAUAAGAGUUACAGAGAUCCAUCAUCGUUUCUAUUGAGAUCCGCCGUCUCUGUCAUCCGUCGUCUCCGUCAAGAUCCAUCGUCUCCGUAAUCCGUCGUCUCCGUCGAGAUCCAUCAUCACUCUCUCUCUCAGCUGACGACAAGAGAUUACGAGAAUCACGAUUAAAAUCUCAAAUAUGUUGGCUCCUCACCACGAUUGACACUGGUCUUGUAGAUAUGUAUGCUAAGUGUGGAGAGAUCGAGAGUUGUUGUAGAGUGUUUGACGGUAUUGCCCUUAGGAAUGUGGUUUUCUGGACUUCGAUGAUUGCUGGGUAUGUGAAAAUGGCUUAAAAAUGUGAAAAUGGCUUAAACAAAUGGCGUAUAGAACAUUAUAUCUUCUCUCUCUUUACAUGACAUCUUUUGAUGAACAAGUUACUUCAUUCUCUCUACAUGCUGAAACAAGCUUCGUCUCACAAUCAGACCUUACUGUGUGCUCAGCUACAAUUAUCAAGCAUCUCCCGUGUCUGAACGUUCAUGUCCUUGGAGUUUCCAAGCCAACUUAAAAGUCUUUUCUACAAAAGUAAGUAGAACACAUUGGUCUUCAACAUUUAGCAUAUUUGUUUAACUGAUUUGAUGUUUGCAGAAGAAUAAAAGAUAUGUUUAUGCUCAUCAUACUACCUUUGGAGAUCUUCUAGGCUCAUCUCACAUCGUAGAUGACAUGGAAAACCCGAGUAGGUUCUCUGAAGAAAUCUUGAGAUGCAUAUCUUCAAUGUAUAUCACACUCUACGGCAGAGCAAGAACCAGUUCUUGUAUUCAGGUUUCACCUUCAUCCAAAACCAGAUUUGAUAGCUGGAACCCAUGCCUUGGGGAUAUCAAAGAAGCAAACGCUCCACGUGGUGUUGUAAUAGAGUCUCUGAAACUUCACCUGGAUGAUAGUUGUUUCAAUAAUUUAUAAGUCUUUAUAAUUUAUAUAGCUAAUUUAUAAAUCUUUAUAAAAUAAGUUAUAAACUCUUAGAAAUUGGUUUAUGAAUCCGGAUAAAUGACUUAUAAGGUUUUAUAAAUCAUUUAAUUGUUUCUUUUAAAUUUAAAUUACCCAAGAGAUCAUAUGUGCAGUUUCAAGCUAUUGUUUACUUGAAAUCAAACUCGUUUAUAGUUAGUUACACAAUACAUAUACAUCAAAAAAGAGAGGGAGGGAGAUUGGCAGAAGCAUUAUAAUUGUUUAUAAAUAAUUUAUAAUUGUUUAUUAUCAUUAGUGGAUAGAUAAAAUCAUAAGCUUUAAGAUGUUCUUAUAACUAACUGAUUAAUAUUUAUAAUUAAUGUAUAACCUCUUAUAGAAAUAUUUAUAAAUUCUUAGA